GCCCGCCUAGCUCAAUCGGAUAGAGCGUCAGACUCUUAUAAUCCAGGGAAACCGUGGAGGAGUCCAUCUGAAGGCUGCGAGUUCGACCCUCGCGGUGGGCU